rnacentral:rRNA from 1 species
GACGAACGCUGGCGGCGUGCCUAACACAUGCAAGUCGAGCGGAGACAGUGAGUAGCUUGCUAUGAGCUGUUUUAGCGGCGGACGGGUGAGUAACGCGUGAGCAACCUUUCCCAGACAGGGGAAUAACACACCGAAAGGUGUACUAAUACCGCAUAAGACCACGGGAUCACAUGGUUCUGAGGUAAAAGAUUUAUCGGUUUGGGGUGGGCUCGCGUCCGAUUAGGUAGUUGGUGAGGUAACGGCCCACCAAGCCGACGAUCGGUAGCCGACCUGAGAGGGUGAUCGGCCACAUUGGGACUGAGACACGGCCCAAACUCCUACGGGAGGCAGCAGUGGGGAAUAUUGGGCAAUGGAGGAAACUCUGACCCAGCAACGCCGCGUGGAGGAAGAAGGUUUUCGGAUCGUAAACUCCUGUCCUUGGAGACGAGUAGAAGACG